rnacentral:lncRNA from 1 species
ACCUACUACCUCUUUUAUUCUAAUUAUAUUCACCACCACCACUGCCGUCAACAACACUACAAUCAGCAACCACUAGUGGCUAAUUCCUACUACCAACCAACUCAUAUAUUACAACUAGCACCACCACUAACUACCACUAAUACAUCACAACCUCUACACAUUCUUUGGCCGCCACCACCAUUGUCACUAGUAAUACCACCUCUACCAAUACUUCAACCAGUACCAUAUCUAUUAUUUAAUCUCUAUAAUUUAUCUCUACUAACAACUAUCUCCACCAUCAAAACAAAUAAUAUCUCCAACUAGCACCAACACAUCGUCAAUCAUUAUGCAUUCAUGUUUCAACCAACACAAUCAACACCUUAAACUACUAACAUCAAGUAAUGUCACAUCACAACCACCACUACCACCUCCAAUCGCCACCAUCAUAACAGUCACUACAAUACCAACCAUCACAAUUAUCACCACCAACAAUAUUAAUCACU